GAAUCUACCAAAAGGACCGGGACAACCACUGGAAACGGUGGCUAAUACCGGAUGAGCCGCAACGUAAAAAGGGAAACCUGCCUUUUGAAGAGCUCGCGUCUGAUUAGCUAGUUGGUAGGGUAAAAGCCUACCAAGGCAUCGAUCAGUAGCUGGUCUGAGAGGAUGACCAGCCACACUGGGACUGAGACACGGCCCAGACUCCUACGGGAGGCAGCAGUGGGGAAUUUUCCGCAAUGGGCGAAAGCCUGACGGAGCAAUAUCGCGUGAGGGAGGAAGGCUCUUGGGUUGUAAACCUCUUUUCUCAGGGAAGAAUGAUGACGGUACCUGAGGAAUAAGCAUCGGCUAACUCCGAGCCAGCAGCCGCGGUAAUACGGAGGAUGCAAGCGUUAUCCGGAAUGAUUGGGCGUAAAGCGUCCGCAGGUGGCAAUGUAAGUCUGCUGUCAAAGCGUCUGGCUCAACCAGAUAAAGGCAGUGGAAACUACAUAGCUAGAGUAAGGUAGGGGUAGAGGGAAUUCCUGGUGUAGCGGUGAAAUGCGUAGAGAUCAGGAAGAACACCGGUGGCGAAAGCGCUCUGCUGGACCUUAACUGACACUGAGGGACGAAAGCUAGGGGAGCG
rnacentral:rRNA from 1 species